rnacentral:rRNA from 1 species
UACGGAGGAUCCAAGCGUUAUCCGGAUUUAUUGGGUUUAAAGGGUGCGUAGGCGGCUUAUUAAGUCAGGGGUGAAAGACGGUGGCUCAACCAUCGCAGUGCCUUUGAUACUGAUGAGCUUGAAUACACUUGAGGUAGGCGGAAUGUGACAAGUAGCGGUGAAAUGCAUAGAUAUGUCACAGAACACCAAUUGCGAAGGCAGCUUACUAAGGUGCAAUUGACGCUGAGGCACGAAAAGCGUGGGGGAUCAAACAGG